UGUGCGUCGCACAUAGGUCAUUUUAUGUAUUUUAGGAAUUAAUAAAUAAAAAAAUUGAAUGUCGAAAAAAAUAUUUUUUUAUAUUUCAUCUUGGAGGUAGGGCCCCAUAGAUAUUAUAUCUGCGAUAUUAUAUUUUAAUAUUAACAGAAGUGGCCAUGGCCAGAAUGACAAUGUCAAAGUUUGUUUGAAUUAUUUCGCAUAGUAAAAUUACUGUCAUUAGUUCAUAAAGUUUCGAAUUUUGUUGUUACGAAUAGAAGGUGAGUUUAAAAAGUAGUGUUGUGUUAUUGUGUACCAUAAGGUACCAUGUCAAUAGAAAAAUCUCUCUUGUUUUCUGCUUGGUGUGAAGGCAAUUCUUUGAAG
rnacentral:lncRNA from 1 species